rnacentral:lncRNA from 1 species
UACUAAGUUGGUAAUACUGUGAGCGAAGACGUCCAUCUUUGAAAAAUUCACUGCGGAAACGUUCAUUUCAUUUCGGAUUGUCUUCGAGUAAAGAUGUAUUAUUUAUUUGCACUUAAAAAAUUAUAUAAAUUUGAAGAUAGUAAAAGUGGUUAUGGUUAACUUACAAUGGAAUUUUUGUAAGUUCAUUGUUUGGAACAUGAAUUAAGUAUAUGAGGACGUGAAAUUUGUGAACUAUCCAUAUUUGCCUGUCCACAAAGGUCAUCCUAACCACGUGGAAUUCAGUGUCUGAUAUAAGCAGUGCAUUAAAUACCAAGGGAUUUACGAAUGGCUAUUUUGGUGUUGAACGCUGGAGGCAGUAAGAAAUGCAAUUUAAAAGAUUAGGUACCCGUUACAACAAUAAUUUAAGAGAGAAUAUAUAGCACUAGAUCCGGCAUUCCACGAGGUCUUUGUGGAAAUUAAAAACAAUGUAAUAUAGCAAAUAAUAAAGAAUGAAUUGAUUUUAAA